GAUGAAGAACGCAGCGAAAUGCGAUAAGUAAUGUGAAUUGCAGAAUUCAGUGAAUCAUCGAAUCUUUUAAUGCACAUUGCGCCCGCCAGUAUUCUGGCGGGCAUGCCUGUUCGAGCGUCAUUUCAACCAUCAAGCCCCCGGCUUGUGUUGGGGACCUGCGGCUGCCGCAGGCCCUGAAAAGCAGUGGCGGGCUCGCUGUCACACCGAGCGUAGUAGCAUACAUCUCGCUCUGGGCGUGCUGCGGGUUCCGGCCGUUAAACCACCUUCAUAACCCAAGGUUGACCUCGGAUCAGGUAGGAAGACCCGCUGAACUUAAGCAUAUCAAUAAGCGGAGGA
rnacentral:misc_RNA from 1 species